rnacentral:SRP_RNA from 1 species
GCCGGGCGCGGUGGCUCAUGCCUGUAAUCCCAGCACUUUGGGAGGCUGAGGCAGGUGGAUUACCUGAGGUCAGGAGUUCGAGACCAGCCUGGCCAACAUGGUAAAACCCUGUCUCUA